rnacentral:tRNA from 1 species
GGGGUUGUGGCUCAGUGGUAGAGCACUUGUCUAGCAUGUGUGAAGCACUGGGUUUGAUUCUCAGCAACACAU